UACGUAGGGUGCGAGCGUUAAUCGGAAUUACUGGGCGUAAAGCGUGCGUAGGCGGUUGGCAAAGUCAGCUGUGAAAGCCCCGGGCUUAACCUGGGAAUGGCGGUUGAAACUAGUCGACUUGAAUCUGGCAGAGGGGGGUGGAAUUCCACGUGUAGCAGUGAAAUGCGUAGAGAUGUGGAGGAACACCGAUGGCGAAGGCAGCCCCCUGGGCUGAGAUUGACGCUCAGGCACGAAAGCGCGGGGAGCAAACAGG
rnacentral:rRNA from 1 species